CUCGUCCUCUCGCCCUCCUCUCUUUCUGUCCCUGUCUCUCUCAUCCUCUCUCCCUCCCCUCUUUCUGUCCCUGUCUCUCUCAUCCACUCUCCCUCCCCUCUUUCUGUCCCUGUCUCUCUCGCUCUCUGUUUCUCUGUUUGUCUGUCUCUGUGUCUGUCUCUCUCUCAUUCUCUCUGCGUCUCUCUCUCAUUCUCUCUGCGUCUCUCUCUCGUUCUCUCUUCCUCUGUCUCUCUUUCUUUCUUUCUCUCUCUCUCUGUGUGUCUCUCUCUCUCUCUCUCUCUCUCUCUCUGUGUCUCUCUCUCUCUCUCUCCCUGUGUGUGUGUGUGUCUCUCUGUCUCUGUGUAUGUCUGUCUGUACUUCCACAGUUUCGCCAGUGGGGAGCAGUGGAAGUGCAUCAACCCCAAAGCCAGAUGGCUCUCUGCUGAGCUAGCAUCACUGGAACAGAGAGGAAUACAGUGUGACCCACUGAUUAAAUAACCAUCAGACCAUGAUCCUAGAUCAUCAUCAUCGUCAGCAGCAGGUUCAGCAGCCUCUGUCAACCAGGAACUACAGAACUAAGAUCUCUCUCAAGCAGGAACUACAGAACUAAGAUCUCUGUCAAGCAGGAACUACAGAACUAAGAUCUCUGUCAAGCAGGAACUACAGAACUAAGAUCUCUCUCAAGCAGGAACUACAGAACUAAGAACUCUCUCAACCAGGAACUACAGAACUAAGAACUCUCUCAACCAGGAACUACAGAACUAAGAUAAUAAGAAGACAGUGAAAAUGAAGAUUAUGAUUUGUGUGAUUUAAGUAUUUCAAGCUGUCUUUAUCAGAUUAUUUAUGUAUUUAUUUAUUUAUUUCAACCUCAUCCCGGCAUUAAUUUAUUGUACUCAAUUCAUUAAGGUGUUUUAAAGGCAUUUGUAUUUAUUUAUUUCCUCUGUCCUUUUUUUAUGCUGUGAUAAUAACAUACCUUUGUUUGUAUAAAGUCUUUCAUUCUCAAAGUGCUUUACAGUGAUACAAAAUAAAGAAUGGGAGACCUAUCUGAGUAUCUCCAUAGUAACUAGACCCUGUAAUGGCUGCAUAAAGGUUAAAGGUUGUGACACUCAAUCAUGUCACUGGGCUGUGGUCAUGGUGAUGACACUGCCCAUCCGUUCUACCAACAAAGCCAUUCCCUCAGUCCCUGACCAUAUCCUCUUCCACUAGUCGCUACUCCUUGUCCUUGUCCUUAAC
ensembl:lncRNA